UACAACAAAAACGAUGAAACCAAUUUUCAAAUUGGGAAUUUUUGACAAACUUUUGUUGUUUUCUUUUUAUUUAGUAAAUUACAAUCUUGCUCGCCUUCGAAUUUCUUGUCCCAGUAAACGUAUCAUAUGCACGUAGUUAACAGAUAUAAAAUUUUUUUUUAAGUUACCAAAGAGACAUUGAGUGAGAACGUGUGUCAUCUAUUCGAGGCCACAGAGGCUGUGGAAACGGGUCACACUGUGAGAACCAAGACGGGAAACCAGUCUGUGUAUAUAGAGAACGUGUGUCGUCUAUUCGAGGCCACAGAGGCUGUGGAAACGGGUACUAUUGUGAGAACCAAGACAGGAAACCAGUCUGUGUACAUACGGAAUCAAAAGUCGACAACACCGUGGCUAUCACCGUCGGCACCUUCUGCAGUGUAGUGUUCCUGGCUCUUGUCGUCGUCGGUGUUGUUUUUAUCCUCCGAAGAUUCCAUGGCAGAAGACCCGGGUCGACCAACGGGUCGGCGUUCUAUAUACAUACUGACGAUACAUCAAACUCGUAAUAUGCUGUUUUGAUUAGUAUUUUCUUCGUGUCCCUUUAUGCAUAGAAAUUAUUUCUAUAUGUAUUUUCCUUUAUUUAUACAUUUACUUUCUAAACGAUGACAUUGUUUAAUUUCAUUUCUUAUUUUUAUGAAAAAGAAGACAUUAAAACAUAUCAUUUUUGCUCAGAUAUGACUGGUCAUAUUGUGAAAGACAUUUCAUAAGACAUUUAUUUAUUGCCAUCUCAUAUAUUUAGACGAUGGACUUUA